CCACCCCCGAGGUCAGCUGAGGCCCCUCACCACCAGCAGGGCCAUGAUGGCGCCCUGCAGCAGGCCCGUCAGCACGUCACUCCAGUGGUGUUUGUAAUCCGACACCCUUGACAGGCCCGUGUACACAGAGGCAGCGAUCAGGAAGAACUGGAUCGUGGGUCGGAGCAGCCUCGCCCAUUCAACCUGGAGCCGCGCCUGCAGGUGAAGUCCUCGAUGUACGCCCCCGCCGAGCAGUUGAUGAGCCUCCAGUCCGGUUUGCAGACGUCCAGGAAGUGCGGCCGGAGCCGACCGAUGGAGUACUUGGCGAUGUCGGUCAGAGACUGGCUCAUGGCGGCGCCGAACAGGAAGGUCCCGACGGCUUUGUAAACGCACGACACGUAGCUGCCGUAAGACGACUUGGACUUGAGGCGCUUCAGGUGAACUAGAAGGCACUCGCCGAUAACCAUCUGUGAGAGGGAGCAGAAAUACAGAAAGAUCAACAACUAUUCCCUAAUGUUAUCCUCCCCUACUCAGUCUAAAAUAAUGUCUGUUUAUGUCAAUUAAUUCAGAAUAUUACACCAAAUUUAUGCCAUAAUGUUUAAGGAAUAGUUCGACUUCUUGGGAAAUCUGAGUAUUUGCUUUUCUUUGAUACCGCUCUCAUGCUGCUACGCUACCACAUGCAGCUAGUUAGCUUAGCAUAAAGACUGACAACAUUUAGGAAUAAAUCAACAAACCACAUCCUACAUGCUAAAUAGUGAGAUGUGAAGGUAAGGCUGAACAAUAUAUAGUUCUUUAGGGUCAGAGUGAUGUUAACUUGCACGUAAACACAUUUUGUUCUAUUUAGAUGAAAGAUAAUUUAGCCUAGCUUAGCUUAGCAUAGAGGUGACGAAGCAGGAAUAUAGGUUUAAUCAGGAUUAAAACUGAACAAUAUUUAGCUUCUUGAAUAAGAUAACAAUGUCAGCUUGCAUGAGAAACACAUCCUGUAGGAUUGCCAUAUCGCAUUUAGGGAUAUGUGUGACUUCGAUGACAGAUAAUAACAGAAGUAAACAGCUAGAUAAUUAAAUAGAAGUGCCUCUAAUGUUUAUUUGUGUAUGCAUUUUCAUUUAAAAGCUAUCGUAUAUUUUCUUCAAAUGUGCAGCUCUAUUUAAAGUGAGAUUAGGUAUAUUUAGUUUUUUUAUUUAAUGCAGAAGAUACCAGUUUGCCCUUAUUUACAGACAGUCAUUAAACUAAAGUAAGCUAAGCUAAGCUAGGCUAGGCUAUCGGCUAGGCUAAUCGUAGUUUCAUAUUUAAUGUAACUAGAGCGGCAUCAUCCUUAAAAUCAGAAACACAGAAAACUCCCAUACAGAAGAACUACUCCUUCAGUUUGUAUGCCAUUCCAGAGCAAAACUGUAUUUAGCAACAGGAGGAUGUCCACUUCAAACCACAAACACCUGAUUUAGAUUAUGGGAUGUCAGAGUAAGAGCCUGUGUGCAUGACGGAGAAUGACUCUUAGAUUCCUGUCGUGGUUCAGAAGCACCUCCGUUCGUUUCCAACAGAUAACAGCCGUUUACUGAAUGUCCAUCAGAAGCUCCUGAUAGUGUCAAAUAAAAGGACGUCUCUAAAGUUUA